rnacentral:lncRNA from 10 species
GCCUCGACCUCCCAGGCUCAAGCAAUCCUCCUACCUCAGCCUCCUAGGACUACAGAUGAGUAAACUGAAACACAGAGAAGCCAAGUGACUGUCUUUAUCCAGUGAAGAAGUGGUGUGCAGGAAUUCGGACCGGACAGUGUGACUCCAGGAUCUAUGCUGUUUAUCUCCAUGCCAGUCUGCCCAUUCUCCUGUGCCCUUCUCAUUUGAGAAGUUGCUGCUUGCUGCCCAGCUUACAGUUCAGGUUGCCAGGGUGGGAGCAAUAUUUUUCAUAGCACUUAGUCCAACCCUCUUGUUACAGCUGAUUGGGUGACAGGUAGAUAGAUCCCUGAUCAAUGGUAGUCUAUGGCUAUUCUGCAAUCUGUCACUCAGGUGGGCUCUCACUCUGUGGUAUUUAAAUGAAGCAACUUGGAAAUAAUUUGCUAGCUGUUAAGGAACAGGAAAAAGUGGAUGGGUGGCCUGUAGAUGAGUCAUGUUUAGAGUGACUUAUCAGUAAUAAAGGUAUUAGUGCUUCGCUACUUGAGUGUCUAGAGUACCUUCAAUUCAGAUCCACUCUCCCACUCAUUUAUCUGGGAUUCCCAAGCCUAUUAUGGCUCCAUCUUUUGAAUUUCCCUGGGAGUCCUUUUAUUGUACCACAAGAAGCCCUACAACAAUCUUGCUUUACUUGAGCUAGCUCAAGUGGGUUUCUGUUUGUUAUCCUAAAAGCCAAACUACAAGAACACACAUUCACAUAUUUAAAAGCACUUGUGCAUCUCCCUAAGCUACCCCUUCUCCAAGGGAAGCAUCCCCAGUUCUUUCCAUCAAUCCUCAUGCCACGUGUUCACUCCCUGUCUUGCUUCUUUCCCUCUGGACCGUGCAGUUGUAGCCUUUGGAAACAGACUAAUACGGAGGCUGGAAUUGGAAGCCACUUUUAUGGAACAAUUUUAUGGGUAAAGAGUGAGCCUGCCAGCCUCAAAAUUUCUUCCUUAGCACCUGGCAAGACUCUUCCCUGGAGCCUUAAAAUUGGUUCUGCUUACAAGAGGGCACGCUGUAACUGGAGUUAUGACUAACAGCUGAGCGCAAGCCCCCUCCCAACCGCCCUCCACCCGCAAAUGGGUAAGAGUAGGCCCCCUGAAGAAAAGCAUCAGAAAUUGGAGUGGAGAGUUUUUCCCAAGCCUGUUCUAGCUUGAAGGCAUUUCAAAGGAGAAACCCUGAUGGACUGUGUCUCCCCAACUCUGGGGAAGAAACUGCAAGCUGGCAGGCAACCAGCUUGCAGCAACGGAGAGGAACUCCGGCCCAUUCCCCCUUGUGGUUGUCGUGUUCAGGUCAGUACUAACUUUAGCCCUGCAGUCCUCAAAUGGGGACAGUCCACUAGUGGAUUAAAUCCUCCUUAAAUGAUUAGAAGCUUUUAGCCAGAGAUCAGAGGAAAGGAAAUUAUUUCAUUUAUUCUCUGCUGGUACACGAUGACUUCCGGGGAAGCCAUCCUCCAGUGUUUUGCAGAAUAAUAACACUUUCUAUUCAUAUAUCAUUGAUCUCCCAGGAGCUCAAAGUUCUCCACAAGCAUCUUAUCAGCUAAUUUCACCUGAGGUGCUUGGGAAGGAGGGAGGAGGCAAGGACAACAUUUGCUUUCUUUUUUUUUUUUAACCUUGAAGUGCAGGGGUACAUGUGCAGGUUUGUUACAUAGGUAAACUUGUGUCAUGGGGGUGUGUUGUAGAUUAUUUCAUCACCCAGGUAUUAAGCCUAGUACCCAUUAGUUAUUUUUCCUGAUCCUGUCCUUCCUCCCACCCUCUACCCUCUGAUAGGCCCCAGUGUGUGUUGUUUCCCUCUAUGUUUCCACGUGUUCUCAUCAUUUAGCUCCCACUUACAGGUGAGAACAUGCACCCAAAGGAAUAUAAGUCAUUCUAUUAUAAAGACGCAUGCACACGUAUGUUCAUUGUAGCGCUAUUCACAAUAGCCAAGACACAGAAUCAAUCUCAAUGUCCAUCAACAACAGACUAAAUAAAGAAAAUGUGGUACAUUAAUACUAUGGAAUAUAUGCAGCCAUAAAAAAGAAUGAGAUCAGGUUCUUUGCAGGGACUUGGAUGGAGCUGGAGGCCAUUAUCCUUAGCAAACUAACAUGGGAACAGAAAACCAAAUACUGCAUGUUCUCACUUCUAAGUGUUUGCUUUAUUUUCUUCCUUGCGGUCAUUCUUUUAGCUGAGACCUCUGCCCCUCAGAAAGAGAGGUGGGGGUAAGCAAUGCUGAGGACUUUUUCAUUAUAUAAAUUGCCUUACAGUGUUGUCCCUCUACCGGCUUCUGCUGGGUGUCCAACUACCCACCACUAGGUCAUUAUCCUCUUUUUGUAAUUUACUUGCCUCGUUUCAAUGUGGGGUAAAUACCCUCUUGUUGAGUUGGAGAAACUGGGGGCUCAGAGAAGCUGUGCAGGAUGACUGAGUUCUCAUGCCAGGCUAUGGGUGAGUCUAAAGCCAGUGUUAUCACAUGUUCAGCUACUGACAUGUCCCUCUAAAUUCUUCCUGCCUGCAGUGCGCAGGGAGUGGUUACAGAGCUGAGGUUGGCCAUAACUCUCUGAAUCUGAAAAGAUGCGUUCUGAAGCACGUUUGAGGAUAAAAGAGGGACGCACAUUGAGCCUGAAGGCCUGACCUCAAGUUGGCUGGCCGUCACUCUGAAGCGGCUCUUUUCAGACCUACAUCCUGUGCAGUGCUCUGCAGAUCAGGCUGCCUCUCUGGGACUUGAAUGUUUCAAAAAGGAUCUAAAGGGCCUUUCAAAUGGUGCCGGGACAUAAAUAGCUUUCACAGAAGAAUGUUGCCUCAGUGAUGCGAUGACUGAAUCAGCACCACAUUGAAUUAGCAGCAAUCUGGUGCUCUGGGUAAUGGAGUGAUGGUAAAUGAACAUUAUUACGUUUUUACCCCGUGAAUGAGUCCUUAAUAAAAAAGACAAAUGGCUUCCAGGUGUCUUGCCACAAAAUUUCAACAACUGAGUCACUCAAGCUGGAGGGAAGAACAAAAGGCAGUAUAGAAUCUCCUCGUGAUUCAGUGGCCGCCAACUUGGAUUGUCCCCAGUUCCAACUUUAGCAUCUUUCUUUAGUCAUUCUACUGCACAGUCAGUUCCCCUUGUGUAGAUGGACAACAGGAGGAAUUUCUAAUGAAAAGACAAAGCUGCCACUGUCCCAUCUGACCAAGCAUCCCCAGAGAGAACAGGCUUCCCAUACCAGGAAAUGCUGUUCCUGACAGGAACCACCUGUGUCUCGUCUGUGGCCGGGUCUUGAAUUACUGGCCAUUCUGGAGCAGGACCGGUUGAUGUGCCGACUCCUGUGGCUGCUAGGAUGUAAGGUAACCCCUCAGGAAUGUUCUGUCAGCUGGCUCAGCCCAGCCUCUGCUGUCAUGUCAGGAGGUGGGAUGGCUUGGAAGUCUUGUCUCUGUCAUAAACUAACACUGUGACAUGAGGUGGCUUGGGAUCUCUCUGGCUCUUAUGUUUCUCAGCUGUGGGGUUCAUGGCCAAGAAAGGAGUUGGGAAAGUAUCAGGUGACAAACACAAAUGCCUCUGGGGGUCAGAUAGGUGACAGAAGUGAAUGGAUUGUCUGGGUGUAAGACAAUAGGAACCGCGGCGCCUGUGAGGAACUGGAGAAUAAAUGCCUUGCCUGAAGAUGUUCAAAUUCAAAUAAAACAAAAACAACCAGAACCCAAUAUUGUAGGCCAAAUAAAAUGCCAAGGGGUUAAGUUGAUCUGAUGAUUAGAGUUUCCAACGUAUUCUGGAAGGUUGCUUCUAGUUUUAAUGAUCCAGCCUUUAUCUGCAAGUAUGUAUUCUUGUAUAUCAGAAUUCCUAAUUCAAUUAUGUAUAUGGUAUAUCUUUUUGAAUGUGAGAAAGUAUAUUAUGUACCUAAUGCUUGGAAUAAAAUUCAGACCAAUCUAGGCUUUUAUAGGCUAAAUCAUAGCAAAAAUCAUUGAUCUUAAGUUGUUGGUUAGAAAAAAAUAUUAAAUGUAUGUGGUAGGAUGUGACUCAGAGGUCAUUUAAGCUCCUCUGAGCCACAGCUCUGGGAAGACAGGGAAAAUGAACCCCUUUUUAAUCACACACUCCUCCUGUUCAGAGCCCAAUUAUUUUUCAUCUGAUUUGUACGUAGGCACGCGUGCAGGGACUGUGUCUGUCUUAUUAAACACUGUACAUGACCCUGGUACCUGACACCUAAUAGGGUUCUCAACACAUAUAUGAUAAAUAAAUGAAUGAG